rnacentral:rRNA from 1 species
GCAUAUCAGAAGGCACACCCGGAGAACUGAAACAUCUUAGUACCCGGAGGAAGAGAAAGAAAAUUCGAUUCCCUUAGUAGCGGCGAGCGAAACGGGAAGAGCCCAAACCAAAAAGCUUGCUUGUUGGGGUUGUAGGACACUCUAUACGGAGUUACAAAGGACGACAUUAGACGAAUCAUCUGGAAAGAUGAAUCAAAGAAGGUAAUAAUCCUGUAGUCGAAAAUGUUGUCUCUCUUGAGUGGAUCCUGAGUACGACGGAGCACGUGAAAUUCCGUCGGAAUCUGGGAGGACCAUCUCCUAAGGCUAAAUACUCUCUAGUGACCGAUAGUGAACCAGUACCGUGAGGGAAAGGUGAAAAGCACCCCGGAAGGAGAGUGAAAUAGAACCUGAAACCGUGUGCUUACAAGUAGUCAGAGCCCGUUAAUGGGUGAUGGCGUGCCUUUUGUAGAAUGAACCGGCGAGUUACGAUUUGAUGCAAGGUUAAGCAGUAAAUGUGGAGCCGUAGCGAAAGCGAGUCUGAAUAGGGCGUUUAGUAUUUGGUCGUAGACCCGAAACCAGGUGAUCUACCCUUGGUCAGGUUGAAGUUCAGGUAACACUGAAUGGAGGACCGAACCGACUUACGUUGAAAAGUGAGCGGAUGAACUGAGGGUAGCGGAGAAAUUCCAAUCGAACCUGGAGAUAGCUGGUUCUCUCCGAAAUAGCUUUAGGGCUAGCCUCAAGUGAUGAUUAUUGGAGGUAGAGCACUGUUUGGACGAGGGGCCCCUCUCGGGUUACCGAAUUCAGACAAACUCCGAAUGCCAAUUAAUUUAACUUGGGAGUCAGAACAUGGGUGAUAAGGUCCGUGUUCGAAAGGGAAACAGCCCAGACCACCAGCUAAGGUCCCAAAAUAUAUGUUAAGUGGAAAAGGAUGUGGCGUUGCCCAGACAACUAGGAUGUUGGCUUAGAAGCAGCCAUCAUUUAAAGAGUGCGUAAUAGCUCACUAGUCGAGUGACACUGCGCCGAAAAUGUACCGGGGCUAAACAUAUUACCGAAGCUGUGGAUUGUCCUUUGGACAAUGGUAGGAGAGCGUUCUAAGGGCGUUGAAGCAUGAUCGUAAGGACAUGUGGAGCGCUUAGAAGUGAGAAUGCCGGUGUGAGUAGCGAAAGACGGGUGAGAAUCCCGUCCACCGAUUGACUAAGGUUUCCAGAGGAAGGCUCGUCCGCUCUGGGUUAGUCGGGUCCUAAGCUGAGGCCGACAGGCGUAGGCGAUGGAUAACAGGUUGAUAUUCCUGUACCACCUAUAAUCGUUUUAAUCGAUGGGGGGACGCAGUAGGAUAGGCGAAGCGUGCGAUUGGAUUGCACGUCUAAGCAGUAAGGCUGAGUAUUAGGCAAAUCCGGUACUCGUUAAGGCUGAGC